rnacentral:ncRNA from 70 species
UAUUGCACUUGUCCCGGCCUGU